ACAAUCUAAUAUUUCUUCUCAGGAAAACACGGUCCGGAAGACGGAAAGAAGUGCAAUUGGCCAAGGAAAAAAAAGUGGAGUUUUUGAAGGGGAACGAUUGAGGUGAUCAAUUACUAGCAACAAGAUACUUGACCUGUGGAUUGAUGGUUUUACAAAGCUAUUUCACGUUUUAUUCAAGAAAUUAAGAGAUCUAAUCCAAUUAGGAGUUGAUAAAAUGUGAAAAGCAGGUGGUUUUGAAAUUAUUAGCUUCUAGUUAUAUUUCAAUUUUACUUGAGAUAGAACACAUUAUUUACUUUGAGAUCAUUUAACUUUUACUGGACACUUAUUAUAUUGCUACUUUGCUAUUUGA